UGCUCAGAUUGAACGCUGGCGGCAGGCUUAACACAUGCAAGUCGAGCGGAUGAAGGUAGCUUGCUACUGGAUUCAGCGGCGGACGGGUGAGUAAUGCUUAGGAAUCUGCCUAUUAGUGGGGGACAACGUUCCGAAAGGAGCGCUAAUACCGCAUACGUCCUACGGGAGAAAGCAGGGGACCUUUGGGCCUUGCGCUAAUAGAUGAGCCUAAGUCGGAUUAGCUAGUUGGUAGGGUAAAGGCCUACCAAGGCGACGAUCUGUAGCGGGUCUGAGAGGAUGAUCCGCCACACUGGGACUGAGACACGGCCCAGACUCCUACGGGAGGCAGCAGUGGGGAAUAUUGGACAAUGGGGGGAACCCUGAUCCAGCCAUGCCGCGUGUGUGAAGAAGGCCUUUUGGUUGUAAAGCACUUUAAGCGAGGAGGAGGCUACCUAGAUUAAUACUUUAGGAUAGUGGACGUUACUCGCAGAAUAAGCACCGGCUAACUCUGUGCCAGCAGCCGCGGUAAUACAGAGGGUGCGAGCGUUAAUCGGAUUUACUGGGCGUAAAGCGUGCGUAGGCGGCCAAUUAAGUCAAAUGUGAAAUCCCCGAGCUUAACUUGGGAAUUGCAUUCGAUACUGGUUGGCUAGAGUAUGGGAGAGGAUGGUAGAAUUCCAGGUGUAGCGGUGAAAUGCGUAGAGAUCUGGAGGAAUACCGAUGGCGAAGGCAGCCAUCUGGCCUAAUACUGACGCUGAGGUACGAAAGCAUGGGGAGCAAACAGGAUUAGAUACCCUGGUAGUCCAUGCCGUAAACGAUGUCUACUAGCCGUUGGGGCCCUUGAGGCUUUA
rnacentral:rRNA from 1 species